AAUGAUGAAUGUCAUAGAUUAGACCUUAGUUUAUUCUAUAAAUGAAAGUGUAAGCAUUCCACCUCAAGAGUAAUUUGGCAACAUUGGAACUGAAAUCAUUAGACCGUUUCUGAAACCAGUAGUGAAGUAUGUUGUUUAAUUUGAUAAUCCGCAAAAAACCUUACCACAAUUUGAAUAUUUAUAUUUUUUUAUUUCUAAACAUUUAUAAUUUUGAUUAUAAAUGAAAAAUAAAAAGAUAUUUUUACAAGCGUUGCACGGCUGUCUUCAGUUAAUGUCGUGAGAUUUUGGUUAGUUCCAUUAAAUUAACGUAAACCCUUGCUAUAUUUUUACAUAUAGUAGUUCUCCAUCAUAUUGGAUAAGAUAACAGGGACUAAGACAAGUCAUCAUGGCCUGAAUAUUGUGGGCUAUA
rnacentral:rRNA from 1 species